rnacentral:rRNA from 1 species
GCGGCCUUAGGGCGAUUCGGAGUGAGUAUGUCUGGGAACUGCCUGAUGGAGGGGGAUAACUACUGGAAACGGUAGCUAAUACCGCAUAACGUCGCAAGACCAAAGAGGGGGACCUUCGGGCCUCUUGCCAUCGGAUGUGCCCAGAUGGGAUUAGCUAGUAGGUGGGGUAACGGCUCACCUAGGCGACGAUCCCUAGCUGGUCUGAGAGGAUGACCAGCCACACUGGAACUGAGACACGGUCCAGACUCCUACGGGAGGCAGCAGUGGGGAAUAUUGCACAAUGGGCGCAAGCCUGAUGCAGCCAUGCCGCGUGUAUGAAGAAGGCCUUCGGGUUGUAAAGUACUUUCAGCGGGGAGGAAGGGAGUAAAGUUAAUACCUUUGCUCAUUGACGUUACCCGCAGAAGAAGCACCGGCUAACUCCGUGCCAGCAGCCGCGGUAAUACGGAGGGUGCAAGCGUUAAUCGGAAUUACUGGGCGUAAAGCGCACGCAGGCGGUUUGUUAAAUCAAAUGUGAAUCCCCCCCGGGCUAAAA